ensembl:lncRNA
GGGUGAAGGAGAAUGAGGUGGCAAGAGUAAGGAGUGCCCUGAUAGGUUGAAGGAGAAUGAGGUGGCAAGAGUAAGGAGUGCCCUGAUAGGUUGAAGGAGAAUGAGGUGUCAAGAGUAAGGAGUGCCCUGAUAGGUUGAAGGAGAAUGAGGUGGCAAGGGUAAGGAGUUUCCUGUUAAGGUGUAGGAGAAUGAGGUGGCAAGGGUAAGGAGUUUCCUGUUAGGGUGUAGGAGAAUGAGGUGUCAAGGGUAAGGAGUUUCCUGUUAGGGUGUAGGAGAAUGAGGUGUCAAGGGUAAGGAGUUUCCUGUUAGGGUGUAGGAGAAUGAGGUGUCAAGGGUAAGGAGUGCCCAGCGUGUCUCCUAUCUGGAGGCGGUGAGAAAAUUGGAAGGAACGAGUGUCGGGGAAGAAGCAAUGGUAUUAGAGCCACCACGACCAGGGAAGGUUUCAAAGCAAAUUGUAUUGGUCACAUACACAUGGCAUCACUCUCCAGGUUGUUGUGCUGCUUGGCUGGCUAGCUGCUCAAUCCUUUCCUCCAGAUAUGAAGGCCUAGAGAACAAGGGACUCAAACUGUGAAAGACAAGCUUCCUGUGUGUAUCAAGAAUGGUCCACCACCCAGAGGACAUCCCAGAGACCAUGCCCCAACCAUAUAGCUCAGUGUUCAAUAUAACCAUUUAGCUCAGUGUUCAAUAUAACCAUUUAGCUCAGUGUUCAAUAUAACCAUUUAGCUCAGUGUUCAAUAUAACCAUUUAGCUCAG